rnacentral:misc_RNA from 1 species
GAUGAAGAACGUAGCGAAAUGCGAUACGUAAUGUGAAUUGCAGAAUUCAGUGAAUCAUCGAGUCUUUGAACGCACAUUGCGCCCCCUGGUAUUCCGGGGGGCAUGCCUGUCCGAACGUCAUUGCUGCCCUCAAGCACGGCUUGUGUGUUGGGCCCCCGCCCCCCGGUUCCCGGGGGGCGGGCCCGAAAGGCAGCGGCGGCACCGCGUCCGGUCCUCGAGCGUAUGGGGCUUCGUCACCCGCUCCGUAGGCCCGGCCGGCGCCCGCCGGCGACCCCCCCUCAAUCUCACGUAUUUGACCUCGGAUCAGGUAGGGAUACCCGCUGAACUUAAGCAUAUCAAUAAGCGGAGGA